rnacentral:tRNA from 1 species
AGUCAGAUCAGCUAAAUUAAGCUCUCGGGCCCAUACCCCGAAAAUGUAGGUUAGAAUCCUUCUCUUACUA